rnacentral:rRNA from 1 species
UGUGUAGGCGGUUGUUUAAGUUUGGUGUGAAAUCUCCCGGCUCAACUGGGAGGGUGCGCCGAAUACUGAAUGACUUGGAGUGCGGGAGAGGAAAGUGGAAUUCCUGGUGUAGCGGUGAAAUGCGUAGAUAUCAGGAGGAACACCGGUGGUGUAGACGGCUUUCUGGACCGUAACUGACGCUGAGACACGAAAGCGUGGGUAGCAAACAGGAUUAGAUACCCUGGUAGUCCACGCCCUAAACGAUGCAUAUUUGGUGUGGGCAGUUCAUUCUGUCCGUGCCGGAGCUAACGCGUUAAAUAUGCCGCCUGGGGAGUACAGUCGCAAGGCUGAA